rnacentral:lncRNA from 1 species
UUUUUGAACAAACGAUGCGGUGAAAAAUACCCAUUACAAGUUUACCAAUUCAAAGAAGCGUUUGGCCUUAGUGCUAUCUAAUGGAAUAAAAUAAUAUGAUACUAGAAAUUUGAGGUGUCCGUUUUCUUAAAAUAUUGAGAGCUGUACACUAGUCGUCUUUAACUAAAAUAUUAUCCAAUCAAUCAAGUUGUGACGUCAACCUUCCGAGACAAAAAAAAAUAUACCCACUGGUUCCCACCGACUUUGUUAGACUAGAUCAUGAACCUCAUUAUUCUAUGACUAGGGAACAAAAAUCGAUCCAGUAAAAAAAAACAUCGCAUUUCUCUAUACCUGUUUAAUUUUCAAUCCAACCAGAG